AAACAGCCCCCUAUGUUUUGAUUCUUUAGCAGUUUUGGACCCCCAAGGCAAAAAAUAAUAAAAAAAUUUGACACGUGGCACCUCACUUAGGGUACCACGUCAGCGUUGACCGAGUCAACAAUGGACUGGGGGUCCAAAACUGCUAAAGAAUCAAAACAUAAGGGGCUGUUU
rfam:Medicago truncatula strain A17 chromosome 1, whole genome shotgun sequence.